rnacentral:tRNA from 1 species
GCGAAAGUGGCGGAAUUGGGAUACGCGCUGGACUUAGGAUCCAGUCCCGUUUCGGGUUGGGGGUUCGAAUCCCCCCUUUCGCA